AGGAUGUAUAAAUGGGGCAUUUCAUACAACUUCAAGAAAGAUAAGUAUCUCCAGAAUUAAUUUUGGAUGAAUUACUUGUCAAUGGUUUGCAAAACAACUGCUUGAUUUGGUUCAAAUUAUUAUCCCCUUGCUGUUUAUGUCAAGAGGAUCUUUCUUGUCAGGCUCCAAGCAAAGAAAAAAAAUUGGAUUUUGUCGUAUCAUUUUUAUAUUUG